rnacentral:tRNA from 9 species
GGCCCAGUAGCGCAGUUGGUUAGCGUGCCGCCCUGUCACGGCGGAGGUCGCGGGUUCGAGUCCCGUCUGGGUCGCCA